AUUUAAUCAAAAUCACAUUUUUUUAUUCAUCACAAUAAUUACAAACAGUAGAAUGAAACAAAAAUUAAUGAAAUGAGUCGAUACGAUACAGCAGCAACAUUGAUUAAUAGUGGAGUUUAUCUGGUACAGCAGGAAGACAAUUUGUCAGUGGAAGAACAAUGGAGUGGCUGUUGAAUUGAAUUGAAUCUACCUGUAGCUGACUACAAGGAAAGAAGAACCCUGACCUCACAGAUACAUGUGUCUCUGUGGGAGGGAAGGGGGGUCCCUCUUAGCUCCACAGCAACCAGUCCCUCUUAGUUCCACAACAACCAGUCCCUCUUAGUUCCACAACAACCAGUCCCUCUUAGUUCCACAACAACCAGUCCCUCUUAGUUCCACAACAACCAGUCCCUCUUAGUUCCACAACAACCAGUCCCUCUUAGUUCCACAGCAACCAGUCCCUCUUAGUUCCACAACAACCAGUCCCUCUUAGUUCCACAACAACCAGUCCCUCUUAGUUCCACAACAACCAGUCCCUCUUAGUUCCACAGCAACCAGUCCCUCUUAGUUCCACAACAACCAGUCCCUCUUAGUUCCACAACAACCAGUCCCUCUUAGUUCCACAACAACCAGUCCCUCUUAACUCCACAACAACCAGUCCCUAUUAGUUCCACAACAACCAGUCCCUCUUAGUUCCACAACAACCAGUCCCUCUUAGUUCCACAACAACCAGUCCCUCUUAGUUCCACAACAACCAGUCCCUCUUAGUUCCACAACAACCAGUCCCUCUUCACUCCACAACAACCAGUCCCUCUUAGUUCCACAACAACCAGUCCCUCUUAGUUCCACAACAACCAGUCCCUCUUAGUUCCACAAUAACCAGUCCCUCUUAGUUCCACAACAACCAGUCCCUCUUAGUUCCACAACAACCAGUCCCUCUUAGUUCCACAACAACCAGUCCCUCUUAGUUCCACAACAACCAGUCCCUCUUAGUUCCACAACAACCAGUCCCUCUUAGUUCCACAACAACCAGUCCCUCUUAGUUCCACAACAACAAGUCCCUCUUAGUUCCACAACAACCAGUCCCUCUUAGUUCCACAACAACCAGUCCCUCUUAGUUCCACAACAACCAGUCCCUCUUAGUUCCACAACAACCAGUCCCUCUUAGUUCCACAACAACCAGUCCCUCUUAGUUCCACAACAACCAGUCCCACUUAGUUCCACAACAACCAGUCCCUCUUAGUUCCACAACAACCAGUCCCUCUUAGUUCCACAACAACCAGUCCCUCUUCACUCCACAACAACCAGUCCCUCUUAGUUCCACAGCAACCAGUCCCUCUUAGUUCCACAACAACCAGUCCCUCUUAGUUUCACAGCAACCAGUCCCUGUUAGCUAAGACAGUACGUUCCCAAUAAAAACAUAAUUCCACCUUGACAUUAUGGGGUAGAUCAGUGACAAAACAAUCUUCCUUUCAAUCCAUUUCAAAUUCAGGCUGUAAACACAACAAACAUUAGGAUAAAGUCAACGGGUGUGAAGGCUCAAAGUAAACAAAACAUUAUGAACACCUGCUCUUUCCAUGACAGACUGACCAGGUGAAUCCAGGUGAAAGCUGUCAUCCCUUAUUGAUGUCACCUGUUAAAUCCACUUCAAUCAGUGUAGAUGAAUGGGAGGAGACGGGAUAAAGGAAGGAUUUUUAAGCCUUGAGACAUGGAUUGUGUCUGUGUGUCAUUCAGAGGGUGAAUGGGCAAGACAAAAUAUUUAAGUGCCUUUGAACGGGGUAUGGUAGUAGGAGGUGCCUUUGAACAGGGUAUGGUAGUAGGUGCCUUUGAACAGGGUAUGGUAGUAGGUGCCUUUGAACAGGGUAUGGUAGUAGGUGCCUUUGAACAGGGUAUGGUAGUAGGUGCCUUUGAACAGGGUGUGGUAGUAGGUGCCUUUGAAUGGGGGUAUGGUAGUAGGUGCCUUUGAACAGGGUGUGGUAGUAGGUGCCAGGCACACUGGUUGUGUCAAGAACUGCAACGCUGCUGAGUUUUUCACACUCAACAGUUUCCCGUGUGUAUCAAGAAUUGUCAACCACCUAGAGAAGUUCCAGCCAACUUGACGCAAUUGUGGAAAGCAUUGGAGUCAACAUGGGCCAGCAUCCCUGUGGAACGCUUUCAACACCUUGUAGAGGGGGGUGGAGCAACUCAAUAUUAGGAAGCUGUUCUUAAUGUUUUGUUCACUCAAUGUAGAUUGUACAGUAUAGUACAUUCCCUGAACAAAAGCAGGAUCUAGAUUAUACAGCUCUAUCUGAACAGAUGCUGGCAAACCUAAAGAGUCAUUCCAUUUGAUUCUUGAUGACAGUCCAUGAUGCUGCUAAACCUAAAGAGUCAUUCCAUUUGAUUCUUGAUGACAGUCCAUGAUGCUGCUAAACCUAAAGAGUCAUUCCAUUUGAUUCUUGAUGACAGUCCAUGAUGCUGCUAAACCUAAAGAGUCACUCCAUUUGAUUCUCGAUGACAGUCCCUGAUGCUGCUAAACCUAAAGAGUCACUCCAUUUGAUUCUUGAUGACAGUCCCUGAUGCUGCUAAACCUAAAGAGUCACUCCAUUUG
ensembl:lncRNA